GAUGAACGCUGGCGGCGUGCCUAAUACAUGCAAGUCGAGCGAAGCGGGGACGGGUGAGUACCACGUGGAUAACCUCCUCUACGACUGGGAUAACUUCGGGAAACCGUAGCUAAACCGGCUACUUAUAGAUCGCUCCGCGUUGCAUUAGCUAGUUGGUAAGUUAACGGCUUACCAAGGCAACGCUGCAUAGCCGACCUGUGAGGGUGAUCGGCCACACUGGAACUGAGACACGGCCCAGACUCCUACGGGAGGCAGCAGUAGGGAAUCUUCCGCAAUGGGCGAAAGUCUGACGGAGCAACGCCGCGUGAGUGAUGAAGGUCUUCGGAUCGUAAAACUCUGUUAUUAGAGAAGCGGUACCUAAUCAGAAAGCCACGGCUAACUACGUGCCAGCCGCCGCGGUAAUAC
rnacentral:rRNA from 1 species